AUUGAACGCUGGCGGCAGGCCUAACACAUGCAAGUCGAACGAGUGGCGGACGGGUGAGUAAUGUCUGGGAAACUGCCCGAUGGAGGGGGAUAACUACUGGAAACGGUAGCUAAUACCGCAUACCAUCGGAUGUGCCCAGAUGGGAGUAGCUAGUAGGUGGGGUAACGGCGCACCUGGGCGACGAUCCCUAACUGGUCUGAGAGGAUGACCAGCCACACUGGACCUGAGACACGGUCCAGACUCCUACGGGAGGCAGCAGUGGUGAAUAUUGCACAAUGGGCGCAAGCCUGAUGCAGCCAUGCCGGGUGUAUGAAGAAGGCCUUCGGGUUGGAAAGUACUUUCAGCGAGGAGGCGUUACUCGCAGAAGAAGCACCGGCUAACUCCGUGCCAGCAGCCGCGGUAAUUC
rnacentral:rRNA from 1 species